rnacentral:rRNA from 1 species
CCCCUAGAUGUCCUGGGCCGCACGCGCAAUACAAUGUAAAGUUCAGAAAGCAUAUCCUGUUCCGGAAGGCAAUGGGUAAUCUUUUCAAUAUUUUACGUGUUAGGGAUCGAUCUUUGCAAUUAUAGAUCUUGAACGAGGAAUGCCUAGUAAGUGCAGCUCAUCAGGCUGUACUGAUUACGUCCCUGCCCUUUGUACACACCGCCCGUCGCUCCUACCGAUUUCGAGUGGUCCGGUGAAUCUUUUGGAAUUAGAGUGCAAACUCAAACUAAGAUCGAUAAACCUUAUCACUUAGAGGAAGGAGAAGUCGUAACA